CCUACGGGUGGCAGCAGUGGGGAAUAUUGGACAAUGGGCGAAAGCCUGAUCCAGCCAUGCCGCGUGUGUGAAGAAGGCCUUCGGGUUGUAAAGCACUUUCAGUGGGGAAGAAAGCCUUGGGGCUAAUACCCUCGAGGAAGGACAUCACCCACAGAAGAAGCACCGGCUAACUCCGUGCCAGCAGCCGCGGUAAUACAGGAGGGUGCGAGCGUUAAUCGGAAUUACUGGGCGUAAAGCGCGCGUAGGCGGUCUGAUAAGCCGGUUGUGAAAGCCCCGGGCUCAACCUGGGAACGACAUCCGGAACUGUCAGGCUAGAGUGCAGGAGAGGAAGGUAGAAUUCCCGGUGUAGCGGUGAAAUGCGUAGAGAUCGGGAGGAAUACCAGUGGCGAAGGCGGCCUUCUGGACUGACACUGACGCUGAGGUGCGAAAGCGUGGGUAGCAAACAGGAUUAGAUACCCGAGUAGUC
rnacentral:rRNA from 1 species